UACGUAGGGGGCAAGCGUUGUCCGGAUUUAUUGGGCGUAAAGAGCGUGUAGGCGGCCAGCCAGGUCUGCUGUGAAAACUCGAGGCUCAACCUCGAGACGCCGGUGGAAACCGUUUGGCUAGAGUCCGGAAGAGGAGAGUGGAAUUCCUGGUGUAGCGGUGAAAUGCGCAGAUAUCAGGAAGAACACCCGUGGCUAAGGCGGCUCUCUAGUACGGUACUGACGCUGAGACGCGAAAGCGUGGGGAGCGAACAGG
rnacentral:rRNA from 1 species